AAGCUUGGUCCUGACUUUAAUAUCAACUCUGGCCAAACUUACACAUGCAAGUAUCCGCACCCCCGUGAGAAUGCCCUAAAACUUCCACCGAGAAGACAAGGAGCAGGUAUCAGGCACAAUACUGUAUUAGCCCACAACAUCUUGCUCAGCCACACCCCCAAGGGACUUCAGCAGUGAUUAAUAUUAAGCUAUAAGUGCAAACUUGACUUAGCUAAGGCCAAGCAGGGCCAGUAAAACUCGUGCCAGCCACCGCGGUUAUACGAGAGGCUCAAGCUGAUAAACACCGGCGUAAAGAGUGGUUAAGAAACAGUAAAACUAAAGCUAAACACCUUCAAAGCCGUUAUACGCAACCGAAGACAGGAGAAACCCCUACGAAAGUGACUUUAAAAACAUGAACCCACGAAAACUAGGAUACAAACUGGGAUUAGAUACCCCACUAUGCCUAACCCUAAACAAAAAUGACACCCUUACACCUGUCACUCGCCCGGGGACUACGAGCACUAGCUCAAAACCCAAAGGACUUGGCGGUGCUUUAGAACCACCUAGAGGAGCCUGUUCUAUAACCGAUAAUCCCCGUUUAACCUCACCCCUUCUCGCCACUACCGCCUAUAUACCGCCGUCGUCAGCUUACCCUAUAAAGGCCCCAUAGUAAGCAAAACUGAUAAAACCCAGCACGUCAGGUCGAGGUGUAGCACAUGAAGGGGAAAGAAAUGGGCUACACUCCCUGACACAAGGAAUACAAGCAAUAAUUUGAAAUAAUUAUCCAAAAGUGGAUUUAGCAGUAAGAGAGAAAACAGAGAAUUCCCCUGAAACCGGCCCUGAAGCGCGCACACACCGCCCGUCACUCUCCCC
rnacentral:ncRNA from 1 species